UACGGGGGGGGCAAGCGUUGUUCGGAAUUACUGGGCGUAAAGGGCUCGUAGGUGGCCAACUAAGUCAGACGUGAAAUCCCUCGGCUCAACCGGGGAACUGCGUCUGAUACUGGGUGGCUUGAAUCCGGGAGAGGGAUGCGGAAUUCCUGGUGUAGCGGUGAAAUGCGCAGAUAUCGGGAAGAACACCCGUGGCGAAGGCGGCUCUCUGGAACGCAACUGACGCUGAGACGCGAAAGCGUGGGGAGCAAACAGGG
rnacentral:rRNA from 1 species